CCUGGGAACAUACACAGGGAGUAAGUUCUCCAGUCUUCCAUCAUAACUUCAUUGUAACACGUGCACCUUCUGAGCCACUUGAUCCCUUUCUUGAUCAAAAUCUGCCAAGGUAACUCCAGCAUUUCUUCCUCAUCUACUGCAGGCCAUUGUUGCUAAAUCUCAAGAUGGCAGCCUAGUAAAGCAUUAGGCACAGCUCAAGCUGCCCUUGUCAUGAUGAAGACUCCUGAGUCACGGGACGGUGCCCCUUCAUUGGUAAAUUCUCCCCCUCCUGGCCUACUAUUCCACCCCUAAUCUUGCCCAGCACACUCCAUCCACCCCCAGGCAUGUGCUCCCAGGUUUGUAGGUGCACGUUAGCAGGAACCUGCAGUUCCCCUCCCUCUCUUCCCUCUCGUCUUCUCCGUAGUCUCUUCUCUCGUAUUUGGCCACAGCCGGGCAAGCCUUCCCAGCUGGCCAUGCAGAGACUUGACCAUCUGCUGUAGGUGGGAUUGUUCUAGCCCACCUUUCAUGAAGGAAGCAGCCUCUCAAGGGUUCCAGGCUUACAGGGUGGCUCCUCCUGCCUGACACCCUCCUCCCACCCUUCAUCCACCAACUCCUGUGCAUCUCAGGGCCCGCUUGGCUGUUACCUCCCCAGGGAAGACUUCAGGACUGGCCAGGUUCCUGUGGAUGCAACAGAAACAGAUUCUGCUCUCAGGCUUGGGUCUACCCGAGUCAUUGCCGCCGUCUCUGCUACACCGGCUGGGCGCUCCCGUGGGCAUCCGAAGCCCUUGGCACAUAUAUCAGUCCUGGCCCCGACUGCAACCACAGUCCUCAAUGGCUGACUUGCCCGUCGCCUCCCUGCCCCGCCUGCUCCUGGUGACCAGGACCCCACCCUAUUCAGUUGACCACUGUGGGUCAGCAUAGCGCCCAGCCAUGACUGCUCAAAGACCAUGGCACGCAGCAGGGACUUGAGGGGCAGCUCCAAACUCCAGAACGCGAAGAACUCGGUGGUUCCCCACAAGGCAGAUGGAGGGGAAACUGAGGCUGGGAAGCUGAGUCCUUUCUGCCUGGGGCUUCCUCUCUCAAGAAAGGAGGCCGGUGGCGCACAUUUGGAAAAGUGUCUAGCAGUAUCAGCAAAGCUAAACAGAUGCUCACCCCCUGGCCCAGCAAAUCCACCAUGGGUCACACCUGCUGCAAUAAUGAAUUGGGAGUGCAUUAGGCUGAGAUGACGCCAAUACCUUCGGUUCUGACAGAAGCAAACGGAAACCCAACGCAGAGGGAAUGGUCCCAGUCUAGGAAACCAAGAGACUCAAGCAUAACCAAUGAGAAACUGCCAAGUAACCUCUAACUAGGGACUUUCCACUUUAAUUAACCAAAUGUUUUCUUUGUCUUGCUUUUGCAAGCCUCUUAUAAAAGUUUUCCCCUGAUGGCCCCUCGGCAGAGCCUGGGUAGCUCUAGAUCCAGUGCUGCUCAAUUCAUGAACUGCUGAACGUUCAAAUAAACUUAUUGCAAAUUUUAAUGUGCUCAAGUCUGUCUAACAUACCCAGUGGGAAUGAGUGUGGAUGUCCCCCAAGACAUUAUUCCAUGAUCGUCGAGAGAAGCCUUACUUAAGACAGCCUCGAACUGGAAUCACCCCAGUGAAACCCUUUAAGAACUCUGGACACCAAAGCUCGGGAGAGCUUCCAGGCUGGUGAGCACAUGGAUGUCACAGGUAGCUGAGCUGCCUGGUUCCCCAGAGAGAGGACAUGAGGCUCGGUGUUCAGGACUCCCCUUGACCUUGCCCCGCACAUCUCUGCAUCUGGCCGGUGCUGAUCUGUAUAUUUUAUAACAAAACUGUUAUCAUAAGUACAGUGCUUCCCUGAGUUCUGUGAGUUGUUGUAGCAAUUUGUUGAACCUGAGGGGUUUGUGGGAACUCCUGAAUUGGUAGCCAGUCAAAAGUGCAGGUGGCCUGGGGACCCCUGAACUUGUAGCUGGUAUCUGAAGUGGGGGCCGUCUUGUUGGGAACCACAUCCUUAAGCCCGUGGAGUCUGACGCUAACUCUAGGCGGUUGUCAGAACUGAAUUACCAUCCGCCAGUCAGGGUUGAAACAGAAUAUUCAGAAACCCCAUGUAGCUGAGCAGAAAUGUGCUUGAGAAGGGAACCCCACAUCUGUUUAGAAAAUGGUUUUAACACAGAGACAUCCAGAAUUGAGUCUGGCAAUGAUGAAGUAGAUCAAAAUGACAGCAUUUAUGUUUUUGUGCUAAGUUCAGAAAUACACAUCUUUGGCAUUUUAAGAACUUACAAAGUUUAAGAGAAUUUGGCAUAUUUGAGUCUUCACAUCAGACGUGUGAUUCUAAUUUUAAAUGUGCUCUUGAGUCAUUGAUUUCUGAGCCCUUCAAACAACCCAUGAGCUCAACCCAUGAUCCCUUCAACCAACCAGCCUGAUGCUAGUAAUCAGCAUCUGUGAUUGCAAGCUGAAAUCUUACUAAGUUGGUAAACAGUUUUUGAAUAUUUAAAAAUCACCAUAAUUAUACGUUUAAUGUAUUUGAUUUAUGAGAAUCACGUAAGGACUUGGGAAGAUUUGUUAGUCAGAUAAUUGAAAAACUUAGAAAAUGGAAUAUAAUAAAUUUUGACUGCAGCUUAAAAUGUUUAAAGGAAUUUAAAUUAACUAAG
rnacentral:lncRNA from 10 species